CCCCCGUAGGGGUAACCUGCGGAAGGAUCAUUACCGAGUGCGGGCCCUCGCGGCCCAACCUCCCACCCUUGUCUCUAUACACCUGUUGCUUUGGCGGGCCCACCGGGGCCACCUGGUCGCCGGGGGACGCACGUCCCCGGGCCCGCGCCCGCCGAGGCGCUCUGUGAACCCUGAUGAAGAUGGGCUGUCUGAGUACUAUGAAAAUUGUCAAAACUUUCAACAAUGGAUCUCUUGGUUCCGGCAUCGAUGAAGAACGCAGCGAAAUGCGAUAAGUAAUGUGAAUUGCAGAAUUCCGUGAAUCAUCGAAUCUUUGAACGCACAUUGCGCCCCCUGGCAUUCCGGGGGGCAUGCCUGUCCGAGCGUCAUUUCUGCCCUCAAGCACGGCUUGUGUGUUGGGUGUGGUCCCCCCGGGGACCUGCCCGAAAGGCAGCGGCGACGUCCGUCUGGUCCUCGAGCGUAUGGGGCUCUGUCACUCGCUCGGGAAGGACCUGCGGGGGUUGGUCACCACCAUGUUUUUACCACGGUUGACCUCGGAUCAGGUAGGAGUUACCCGCUGAACUUAAGCAUAUCAAUAAGCGGAG
rnacentral:rRNA from 1 species